GAAAUGCGAUAAGUAAUGUGAAUUGCAGAAUUCAGUGAAUCAUCGAAUCUUUGAACGCACCUUGCGCUCCUAGGUAUUCCUUGGAGCAUGCCUGUUUGAGUAUCAUGAAAUCUUCAAAGUAAAUCUUUUGUUAACUCAAUUGGUUUCUACUUUGGUAUUGGAGGUCUUUGCAGCUUCACACCUGCUCCUCUUUGUUCAUUAGCUGGAUCUCAGUGUUAUGCUUGGUUCCACUCGGCGUGAUAAGUUAUCUAUCUCUGAGGACACUGUAAAAGGUGGCCAAGGUAAAUGCAGAUGAACCGCUUCUAAUAGUCCAUUGACUUGGACAAUACUUUUAUGAUCUGAUCUCAAAUCAGGUAGGACUACCCGCUGAACUUAAGC
rnacentral:misc_RNA from 1 species